AGGAGAUGUCCUGAUUCAGAUUUCAGAGAACCAGAGGCGACUCACCGCUGAACUGGAAGCAAUAUUCCGCUGGUUCCACUCUGAAGUGCUGCAGGAGAUGGACAAUAAUGUCAAACUGGAUAAGGACUACAUAGCAGGCAGCAGGAGGCGAUAUGAGAUGGAGGUACGGACCCAGGCCACCAUCUUUGGAGAGGCAGCUGAGGGGAGGGGCUUACCAGGAUGAGUACAUUCACUUCCUGAGGGAUAGUCAGCAUGAGGCUCUGAUGGAGGAGGAAAGGAGAUACUGUUUCCUGGCUGAGAAACACUGUGGUCUCACUCAGUCCAUCGUCUAUCUCAUGAACAAGAGAUGUCCUGAUUCAGAUUUCAGAGAACCAGAGGCGACUCACCGCUGAACUGGAAGCAAUAUUCCGCUGGUUCCACUCUGAAGUGCUGCAGGAGAUGGACAAUAAUGUCAAACUGGAUAAGGACUACAUAGCAGUGAGUAG